rnacentral:snoRNA from 1 species
AUUCUAUGAAUAGGACAAUCUUGAAUGUAUCCUUGCAAAUGCUCCCAUGCUUCUGAAAUUUUUUCUGUCUUCUGCUAUUGGAAAUUGGUAAUCUUUCCUCUUAAGGC